rnacentral:rRNA from 1 species
CCUACGGGUGGCAGCAGUGAGGAAUAUUGGUCAAUGGGCGCAAGCCUGAACCAGCCAAGCCGCGUGAAGGAUGACUGCUCUACGGGUUGUAGACUUCUUUUUUACAGGAAUAAAGUCAGGUACGUGUAGCGGUUUGUAUGUAUCUUACGAAUAAGGAUCGGCUAACUCCGUGCCAGCAGCCGCGGUAAUACGGAGGAUUCGAGCGUUAUCCGGAUGUAUUGGGUGUAAAGGGUGCGUAGGCGGCAGGACAAGUAAGAAGUGAAAGCCCGGGGCUCAACCCCGGCACUGCCUUGGAUACUGUCGGGCUAGAGUGCAGUAGGGGUAGGCGGAAUGCAUGGUGUAGCGGUGAAAUGCAUAGAGAUCAGGCAGAACACCGAUGGCGAAGGCAGCUUACUGGAC